GCCCCGAGGCGGCUGGACACGCCCGGGAGGCCUGGGCGCGCGGAGCGGGGCAGGGAGCCUUAAUACACUUCAGGAUACUUUGGUUCACGUUAAAGUGUUCUGAGUCAUGAAGCCCUGCAGAGGGAGACGGGCGCUGUGCUGAGUGCCAGGCACAGGAAGACCUCUGGGCCUCCAAUCACUUCCGAGGUAUCCUACUGUGGGGAGACCGCUCGGGUUCUGUCUGCUCAGGGGCCCUCAGGGUCAUCGAGGCCUGCCUUAUUCCUGCUUUAGUGAUCAGAGUCUGAGGUCCCAGAGGUGCCCAGAGACUGCACACCCUCUCCUCAGGGGACACGAAGCAGCUCAGGAUGACGUGGACAAAACAGAGAUGCCUUCAGGACCGACACCUCUCCGCCCUGCCCCUGUUCUGACCUGGGGUCUGAGGUGCUCUGAGGUGGAAGACGUUUUGCUGCACCCAAGGAAAUGAGGACCUAACUGCUGAAGAACACGGGGCACCUUGGUGGCGACUGUGCCCUUCAGGGGCCUGGGUUCAUCUCACACUCACCUCGUCCCCGCUGUACUGCUUCAAGCAGUGCAGGAGGCGGCAGGUAUUGGACAACCAGAAGGACGUCAUCUCAAAGUCCUCGUUGUGCUUCUGCGAAAAGAAGAUGUGCCUGGGUAUGAAGAGGUAGUUCCCAUCUGUCCUGACGCAUCCACCUUGCCUUCUCUUACCCAGGAGGCCCCAACCAGGCCUGGCGACAAGCGGACCCUUACUCUUCAUGGGCACACGGGAAGAAAGCCCUCCCUGCAAGGCUGCCUUCCUGCUCCUCCAGCCCUGGGGAGGACACACGACCCUGCCUGGAGCCCCGUGAUCAGUGGUGCACAGCUAGCGGGGAGUAGGUGGGGUCUGGGGCCACUUGGGAGCCUCACUGGAGAAAACUGGGGUGCAACUGGGCUGUAUAGUACUAGGUCACUGGGCUGAAGGCAGAGCAUGGGAGGACCAACUGCCAGGGGCCAGCGUGAGGAACUCCGCCCAUGGCAAAGGUCAUGAGGAAGGAGGCUUGGCAUACGCAAAGGCGUGAUCAAGCCUCAGGAAACCCCCUGUUCCCGAGCAUCUAACCCCAAAACCAGAGUCUGUUUUAUGCUCUCAUCUACACCUCUGACUUUACGGGGGGGGGCUCUCCCCCAUCACUAUUUCCCUCGGAGAAGGAGUUAACUUGCAGCUCCAAGUCAAUAAAAAUUCCUGGGCACGACAAGAGUGUUUCAACUUACGGACUCCUCUGAAGGUUAUCUAGCCCACCAGUAUAGGUUCUUCCGGCCACAUGUGAUUGUUUACAGCCUCCCAACCUGAGAGGCACGAGAUGUUUUAGACUUACUAAAGGCAAAUUCUUUUGGGAAAUUGUCAGUAUAGUGGGUUGGUUAGGAAUUAUAUUGGUAAAGGGUUUUUCAUUUGUUGUGCCAAUAAUUACUGCUAAUUCCCUGCCAUGGGUGUGACAAGGGUGUUUCAGGUCAAACCUCUCUGCUGACAGACUAGCCUGUAUGAUAGGAUUAUCCAUAUCCACACAUGAUUGUUUACUACCUCUCAACCAUAAACAGCACAGAGAGUUUUGGAGUAUUUUGAGAGUCUUAAUUAGCACAGGGCUUUUCUCAUUGAGUCAAUGAUUGCCACCAGGCCUCCAUAUCCUUAGGCACCUGGGAAUAUAUUAAUCAAUGUAUUUGGAAUAUAGAAAAGGAAAUAUAGUAGUUUUAAGGUUAGCAAUACUAGACUUUUUGAGUUAAUGAAUUUUCUCUUUUGUAAUAGAUCACUGUACUUUGUUAUAAAUCACUGUGUCCUUGCUAUGUAAAAAUGUAACUUUAUCACUAUCUUAAGACUAAAUAGAUCUUAAGGGGAACAUUGGUGAAAGGAUUUUCAUUUGUUGGGCUGAUGUUUGCUGCUAAAUCUCCAUAUUCCCUGCCCUUAUAGUGAAUAUAACUAACAUAUAGGAGAAAUAAGUAUUAACCUUUAAGAUUAAUCAUGUUAACCUUGGGUUAAAUAAAUUCCUUUCUUGAUUGUAACUCACUACACCCUCACCCUAUAGGAAUGCAACUUUAUUUGGAGGGUGGUGCCUGGUUUAAGAAAAAACACUCUUGGAAAAAAUAAGUUUUUUGGUUAUCAGAAAGGGUCGUAAAAUGUCAGCAGGCCUCAUAGCCAGAAGAUGAUGUAAAACCCCUAAGAUCUUUUUUUAUGUAAAGCACCUGAUUUUGAUAAAGGUCAGGACUGCUGACCCCCGCGUGACUCUGUAUUCAUCCCUAUGUGUAACAAAAGGUAUAUAAGCA